ACGCUUCUCUCGUCCUUUCGCUUCCUCUCCCUCGCACACGAACGGUUACAGGUUCACCGUCACCAUUCGCCUUGUGCUUCGUUGCUUCUGGAUCCUCCUCUCAUGGCGCGAGUUCCCGCGCUCGAUUUUCGUUUUCGCGCUUACAACGGAGAAGAGUUUCCAUCUUCUGAAUCCGUUUGGUUGCCGAGAAACGGCGAUCGGAAAAAAAAAGGUAUGAUACCAAAGGAAGAAGAAAUGGUGAACUCAUUGCAACGAACCCUAACUGUUGCAGAUUUUAGAUUUCUCUUUCUUAGUUUGUUUUCUCACUUUCUACCAUUGUCAUGUUGCUUCUUCUUGUCGCACACUCAGGAGCUGUGUAUUUUUCUCAUUAUCCAG
rnacentral:lncRNA from 1 species